rnacentral:lncRNA from 1 species
AAAACCUAUUACUGUGUUAAUUAGGUCUGUGGUAAUUUUCAGGCUGGUGAUGACAGCUAUCCGCAUGUGGUCUAGCAUAUAUAUACAAUGAGAAUGGCAAUACUACCUGUGUUGGUGUAAAAGAUUCUGAACAGUUAUGACAAAAUAGAGAAGGAUUCUUCUUUGCCCCUUAGAGGACAACAUCACAAUCCAGGACAAAUCUUCAAAGGUGACAGUCUUGAGCCUAAGCCUGCUGUUCAAAAUAAGUUGAUUUUGUGCUCUGUCUUGGGUUUCAGGUCUUCAGGCUGAUAUAGACUUUUGUGGCAUCAGUGUGCAGAAAAAUAUGGAUUGUGGCCUGAAGAGGCGACUAGCUUUUGAGAAGGAGCUGAAAGAAACUUGUUCGUGAGAGACUGUUCU